GGGAUCUUAACUUAAUUGGUUAGAGUACUUAAUUGUCAAUUAAGGAAGUAUCAGUUCAAAUCUGUUAGAUCUCG
rnacentral:tRNA from 1 species